UUCCGGUUGAUCCUGCCGGACCUGACUGCUAUCGGAUUGAUACUAAGCCAUGCGAGUCAUUGUAGCAAUACAAGGCAGACGGCUCAGUAACGCGUAGUCAACCUAACCUAUGGACGGGAAUAACCUCGGGAAACUGAGAAUAAUGCCCGAUAGAACACUAUACCUGGAAUGGUUUGUGUUCCAAAUGAUUUAUCGCCGUAGGAUGGGACUGCGGCCUAUCAGUUUGUUGGUGAGGUAAUGGCCCACCAAGACUAUUACAGGUACGGGCUCUGAGAGGAGUAGCCCGGAGAUGGGUACUGAGACACGGACCCAGGCCCUAUGGGGCGCAGCAGGCGAGAAAACUUUGCAAUGUGCGAAAGCACGACAAGGUUAAUCCGAGUGAUUUGUGCUAAACGAAUCUUUUGUUAGUCCUAGAACCACUAACGAAUAAGGGGUGGGCAAGUUCUGGUGUCAGCCGCCGCGGUAAAACCAGCACCUCAAGUGGUCAGGAUGAUUAUUGGGCCUAAAGCAUCCGUAGCCGGCUCUGUAAGUUUUCGGUUAAAUCUGUACGCUUAACGUACAGGCUGCCGGGAAUACUGCAGAGCUAGGGAGUGGGAGAGGUAGACGGUACUCGGUAGGAAGGGGUAAAAUCCUUUGAUCUAUUGAUGACCACCUGUGGCGAAGGCGGUCUACCAGAACACGUCCGACGGUGAGGGAUGAAAGCUGGGGGAGCAAACCGGAUUAGAUACCCGGGUAGUCCCAGCUGUAAACUAUGCAAACUCAGUGAUGCAUUGACUUGUGGUCAAUGCAGUGCUGCAGGGAAGCCGUUAAGUUUGCCGCCUGGGAAGUACGUACGCAAGUAUGAAACUUAAAGGAAUUGGCGGGGGAGCACCACAAGGGGUGAAGCCUGCGGUUCAAUUGGAGUCAACGCCGGG
rnacentral:rRNA from 1 species